rnacentral:misc_RNA from 1 species
GAUGAAGAACGUAGCGAAAUGCGAUAAGUAAUGUGAAUUGCAGAAUUCAGUGAAUCAUCGAAUCUUUGAACGCACAUUGCGCCCGCCAGUAUUCUGGCGGGCAUGCCUGUUCGAGCGUCAUUACAACCCUCAGGCCCCCGGGCCUGGCGUUGGGGAUCGGCGGAGCCCCCCGUGGGCACACGCCGUCCCCCAAAUGCAGUGGCGGUCCCGCCGCAGCUUCCAUCGCGUAGUAGCUAACACCUCGCGACUGGAGAGCGGCGCGGCCACGCCGUAAAACACCCAACUCUUCUGAAGUUGACCUCGAAUCAGGUAGGAAUACCCGCUGAACUUAAGCAUAUCUAUAAGCGGAGGA